rnacentral:lncRNA from 1 species
GUUACUGUAGAAAUCCUAUUGUAGGAGAAGCUCGAACACUGACGAAGUCCAGACGAAGUUCGAAGUAGAGUCAUCCGUGGUCGGAAGAAGUUUGGAAGAGAUUCGGAGAAUAGUCGAUCACCAUAGAAAAUCGACUGAUAGCGAAGUUCAGAGGAUAUUUGGAGUAGUCCGAUAGAUGAAUGAGGAAGCUCAUUGUCGAAGAAAUCUAGAUGGUAUUAUGGAAGCUCGGACGGUCGAGGGAGUUCAGAAAGAUGCCACACAAUGUCGGAAGCCG